rnacentral:lncRNA from 1 species
UCCAUGGUCCGUUGUCUCCCAAAGCACAUCAGGAUGUAAAGUGGGUGAAAGGGAGUAUGUGUGGCAAGUUUUGUUUUUAUCAGUCAUUGUUUGGGUUGCUAUGGUCUCAGGAAGUGAGUGAAGGUACUGUAAAUCCCAGCAUCCUUGGUCCGUUGACCCUCAAACUGCAGGAGGGUCAUGGGGGGCAUAUGUGCCAAGUAUGGUUAUGAUGCGUCAUUGGAUAGAAUAGCAAUGGUCAGCGGAAGGCAAAAAAAUUGAAAGUACUGCAUAUCCCAUCAUCCAUGGUCCAUCCUCCCCCACACCACACCAGGGUGUAAAGUGGGCCACAUAGCAUCUGUGUGCCAAAAUUGGUGUAGUUUUCUCAUUCGUGUGCAUCUCAAUGGUCUCUGGGAGGUGAAUCAAGGGAAGGUAGUGUAGAUCCCAUAAUCCUUGGUCCAGCCUCCUCCAAUUGGCACCAGGAUGUAAAGGGGGUCACGGGGGCUCUGUGUGCCAAAUGUGGUCCAGUUCCAUCACAGGUGGGCACCACAGUGAUCUGUGGGAGCUGAAGCAUUUGAAAGUACUGCAAAUCCCAUUGUCCGUUGUCCAGCCUGCACCAAAUGGCACCAGGAGAUAGAAUGGGUCAUGGGGGUUAUGUGUGCCAAGUUUUGUCCAGUUACAUCACUGGUGGGCAUCUGAGUGGUCUGUGGAAGGCAAAGCAAUUGAAAGUACUACAAAUCCCAUCCUCCGUGGCCCAUCAUCCCCCAAACGGCACCAGGACAUAAAAUGGGUCAUAGGGGUUAUGUGUGCCAAGUUUGGGCUAGGUCCAUCAUUCCUGGCGGUCACAGUUGUCUGUGAAAGUGGGAGCCAAUCAGAACGCUGCCACAUACUCCGCCGCAUACAAACAUUCACUUUUAUUAUAUACUAGCUUGGGGGCCCGGCAGUGCCCAGGUUAUUUGAGAACGGAAUUGUUUGCCUUUGUUCCAAGUUUAGUCUCAAUCCAGUGUCAGUUGUCUUCAAUUGGUACGGGUGAACUACAACUCCCAUAUGUAAGUCCAUGGUCCAUCCCCCUCCAAAUAGCGCAAGGAUGUAAAGUAGGUCAUGGGGACGCGAU